GGGCACGGAGCGUCGAUCCAAUAUCCACCAGCGAUGAAGGAAGUGGGGAUGGACAUCCGUCGAUCUGCCGUCCCUGCUUUGUGGAGGCUACAACCUGGAGUCUCAUGGGUGUGAAGAUGAUCUAGGGCAUUGCUUUGUUAGGGGUUCACUUAUGUACAGGAAUGUCAUGUUCUUUCCCGUGUAAUAUAUUGUGGUUUUUUUCUACUCAACACCAUCUGGACUAUGUAUUACUGUAACCUGCUCUAUGUUUUGGGUCUGGGCACUGGACCAUGGUGCUGGACAGGGCACGACGCCCUAAGACCGCUCUUUGGAAUUCCAAUAUACUUGGAGAUCGCUAGAAGUGAAAGUUGAGGACCAACAUGUAUGUUGUAUCAUGGAUGUCCCCCUUCAUAGCAUUGUUUUAUGAAAUGCACUAACAGUCCGAGAAGGUUGCUCUGAGUAUAUUUGUUACAACAAAGUAUGCUUUGGUAUGAAACUUGCCAAUGUUGUGUGAUUAACCUUGAUGUUUAGUACUGAAUCAUUAAUAAGUGUUUACUAACCUCCUUU